GGGACGGGCGGAGCUACACAUGCAAGUCGAGCGGAUGAGGGUAGCUUGCUACCUGAUUCAGCGACGGACGGGUGAGUAAUGCCUAGGAAUCUGCCCGGUAGUGGGGGACAACGUUUCGAAAGGAACGCUAAUACCGCAUACGUCCUACGGGAGAAAGUGGGGGAUCUUCGGACCUCACGCUAUCGGAUGAGCCUAGGUCGGAUUAGCUAGUUGGUGAGGUAAUGGCUCACCAAGGCGACGAUCCGUAACUGGUCUGAGAGGAUGAUCAGUCACACUGGAACUGAGACACGGUCCAGACUCCUACGGGAGGCAGCAGUGGGGAAUAUUGGACAAUGGGCGAAAGCCUGAUCCAGCCAUGCCGCGUGUGUGAAGAAGGUCUUCGGAUUGUAAAGCACUUUAAGUUGGGAGGAAGGGCAGUAAGUUAAUACCUUGCUGUUUUGACGUUACCAACAGAAUAAGCACCGGCUAACUUCGUGCCAGCAGCCGCGGUAAUACGAAGGGUGCAAGCGUUAAUCGGAAUUACUGGGCGUAAAGCGCGCGUAGGUGGUUCAGCAAGUUGGAUGUGAAAGCCCCGGGCUCAACCUGGGAACCGCAUCCAAAACUACUGAGCUAGAGUACGGUAGAGGGUGGUGGAAUUUCCUGUGUAGCGGUGAAAUGCGUAGAUAUAGGAAGGAACACCAGUGGCGAAGGCGACCACCUGGACUGAUACUGACACUGAGGUGCGAAAGCGUGGGGAGCAAACAGGAUUAGAUACCCUGGUAGUCCACGCCGUAAACGAUGUCAACUAGCUGUUGGGUUCCUUGAGAACUUAGUAGCGCAGCUAACGCGAUAAGUUGACCGCCUGGGGAGUACGGCCGCAAGGUUAAAACUCAAAUGAAUUUGACGGGGGCCCGCACAAGCGGUGGAGCAUGUGGUUUAUUCGAAGCACGCGAGACCUUACCUGGCCUUGACAUGCUGAGACUUUCCAGAGAUGGAUUGGUGCCUUCGGGAACUCAGACACAG
rnacentral:rRNA from 1 species